UUUAAAAAAAUUAUCAUAGCUAAAAGUUUGAUGACUUUAGCCAUUGCAUUCACUUGGUGACAGAAAAAAAAAAGUAAAAAAAAAAAAUCACGGCGACAAAAAAGGACCUACUCGGUGCAAUAUAUAAACUAUAUCUUUACUUAAGAAUUAUGAAAAAUUAGGAAUCCAUACGUUAACAUUCGUUUUCUUAGUAGUAAGAAAAUAUUAAUUGGGUUGAAAAUGUGUCCACCCAAAAAGCCGAAACGACAAAGAGAGAUAGGAAGGUAAGUAUGUAAUUUUAUUUUAUUGGUAGAAUGAUGGGAGAUGACACUCAUAGAUGAAAGCGACAUAAAAUUUCUUUAGUUUAUAUCUUUACCUUCUAGGCUCCAUGGAUGAGAAUGAGGUCAUCUCUGGCGUUGUUUACAAUGGUCUUAUUAUUGUCUUAAUUUAAAUAUUUGACUCCUUAUUGUAUGAAAAAAAAAAAGAGUUGUUAGAAAGCAACCAUUAAGGAAAUAUACAAAUACUUAUAAUUAAUGUUUAUUAUCAUAUUUAUAUUUUCUUUUCUUGAUGCAAAAGGUAUCAGUAAGAGGAUAAGCUAAUAAAAAUGUUUGAUGUAAAAUGAGGCGGAUUAAGUAACUUGGUGGUAAGUUGAUACAAUAGUAAAUGAACUGAUAUUAUUCGAGGAAUGAGAAGGGAAAACUAAGUUGACACUUUCUAUCAGUUUUUUAUUUUUAUAAUUAUUUCAUUACAAUUUUGAUAAUAUUAUUUCAUAACGUCGAAGUUCAAAUAAAAAAAUGUGAUUAUUUUAUGGUUGAAAUAAGUUCUUGUCUAAAAUUUUGACAUCAUUUAAGUAAUGGAGUGUGACCAAAACAUUAUACGAAGAUAGUGUUGUAAAAAUUGAAAAAAAAAAAAAGGUAGGGAAAAAAUGUGUUAUAGAAAUUAAAAAUUGUGAGUAGUGUCAUAAAAGUAAAAUAGAGUAGGGAAGAAAGUGUCAUUCUCUCAAAUACUAAAUUAUGCAAUUAAUCUCGGCCAAACGUACAAUGUGGGCCAAACGGUGAUUAUUUGCUUAAUAGGAUUGAUUAUUUGAUUAUUCAAACUGCUAGUCUAUUUGAAGUUUAGACAAAAUAUCAAGGACCUAUUUAUAAAUUACACUUCAGCAGGUGUUAUUAGAUAAAAGGCGGGGGAGAAAUGGAAUCACAAUCACCAUUUUGUUUUUGCUUUUUAAAACUCAAAAUCUCGAAUGAGUGGGACUAUUGGCACCCCUCAAUAACUCUAAUAAAACCCUUUUUGUUUAAAGCACCUGCAAUGAAAAUUAAAAUAACAUAAUCACUAAUAUCACCCACGGGUUAAUUUCAUAAAUGACCUUACCUAUUUCUUCCUAAGACCUAAAAGAUUUUUAUGGAAAGAUAACAUAAGACCGCAAAAUUACUCAAUUUAGUGUAUUAUUAUAGAUUUUUGAUCAAAAUAAAGGAACUACUGACUCUUCCAUGGCGAAUAAAUAAGUUUUCUAAAAGAAGCUACUAUGAUUUAAACAACAAGAUAACUAAUGGUGAAGUCAGAACUACAGCUGCAAUUAAGCUUUAAACCCUUUAAAUUAUUAUAUUUCUUAAGAAAUAAUUAAGAUUUUUUUUUCCUUUCGUUGAUAGCCAUUAAACUGAUUAUUGAAUGAUUUUGUACAUAUUUUAAACCUAAAAGUGCAAGUUAACACUUGUGAAACUCACUAGUCAAGUGCGUAUAUAAAAUAGAAAAAAUUUAUUUUGAACUUCCCAAUAAAACUAAAACUUAAAUAAUUUAUUUCAUUUGAAGUUAUUUGUAUACACGAUCCUUAAUUUAGCAUUUCGAAUAAAGAAUUCAUUGUAGGUUUGCAGCAAAAAUGCAAACAACAAGCAAUGGUAACGAUAAAUGCAGAGUGAGAGAAAAAGAGAGAGAAAUCUGCAGUUUGAGUUGAGAAAAAAGAUUGGUUUUUUUGUCAUUUUAUGAGAGGUUAAAAUUGUAAACACACAAGAGGGGUUUCGAAAGAGUUUUCAAGGGGUCCUAAUAGCAUCACUCAUCUCGAAUUCCUACUUGGUCUUGCAUAAAGCCUUUAACGGAAUUCGGCCCAAAUAGAGAGUAGCCUUGGCCCAUGAUGAUGGUAUUAUUUCGAAUCUUUUCACUUGCAAAAAAAAGGAAAAGAAAAAAAAGAAGAAAAAUCCACGCGAGAAGGAAAGAAACAAACGACAGAAGGUCUUUGCAAGAAUUUUCACCAACGGGAUAAGUUUCUUCUUCACCCCAAUGUUUUUUUUUUUAAAAAAAAAUUCUUUCUACAAUUACUCAAAAAGUUUUAUGUAGUAGCAACACAGCUGACGUGUUAUCUAUUAGAUUAACUUAUUAUUAACGGAUAAAAUUAACUUACAAUUUAAACAAUUACAAAUAGACAUUUCUCAUUUAUAUAAAUAAGACUGUUAUAUUUUUCGAGUCUUCUUU
rnacentral:lncRNA from 1 species